rnacentral:tRNA from 1 species
GGGCCCGUAGCUCAGCUGGGAGAGCGCCGCGUUCGCAACGCGGAAGUCGAGGGUUCGAAUCCCUUCGGGUCCACCA